rnacentral:rRNA from 1 species
AUACGUAGGGGGCGAGCGUUGUCCGGAAUGAUUGGGCGUAAAGGGCGCGUAGGCGGCCCGGUAAGUCUGGAGUGAAAGUCCUGUUUUUAAGAUGGGAAUUGCUUUGGAUACUGUCGCGCUUGAGUGCAGGAGAGGUAAGUGGAAUUCCCAGUGUAGCGGUGAAAUGCGUAGAGAUUGGGAGGAACACCAGUGGCGAAGGCGACUUACUGGACUGUAACUGACGCUGAGGCGUGAAAGUGUGGGGAGCAAACAGGAUUAGAUACCCUGGUAGUCCACACUGUAAACGAUGAAUGCUAGGUGUAGGGGGUAUCGACCCCUUCUGUGCCGCAGUCAACACAAUAAGCAUUCCGCCUGGGGAGUACGGCCGCAAGGUUGAAACUCAAAGGAAUUGACGGGG